UUAAGCGACUAAGCGUACACGGUGGAUGCCCUGGCAGUCAGAGGCGAUGAAGGACGUGCUAAUCUGCGAUAAGCGUCGGUAAGGUGAUAUGAACCGUUAUAACCGGCGAUUUCCGAAUGGGGAAACCCAGUGUGAUUCGUCACACUAUCAUUAACUGAAUCCAUAGGUUAAUGAGGCGAACCGGGGGAACUGAAACAUCUAAGUACCCCGAGGAAAAGAAAUCAACCGAGAUUCCCCCAGUAGCGGCGAGCGAACGGGGAGCAGCCCAGAGCCUGAAUCAGUGUGUGUGUUAGUGGAAGCGUCUGGAAAGGCGCGCGAUACAGGGUGACAGCCCCGUACACAAAAAUGCACAUACUGUGAGCUCGAUGAGUAGGGCGGGACACGUGGUAUCCUGUCUGAAUAUGGGGGGACCAUCCUCCAAGGCUAAAUACUCCUGACUGACCGAUAGUGAACCAGUACCGUGAGGGAAAGGCGAAAAGAACCCCGGCGAGGGGAGUGAAAAAGAACCUGAAACCGUGUACGUACAAGCAGUGGGAGCCUCUUUAUGGGGUGACUGCGUACCUUUUGUAUAAUGGGUCAGCGACUUAUAUUCUGUAGCAAGGUUAACCGAAUAGGGGAGCCGAAGGGAAACCGAGUCUUAACUGGGCGUUAAGUUGCAGGGUAUAGACCCGAAACCCGGUGAUCUAGCCAUGGGCAGGUUGAAGGUUGGGUAACACUAACUGGAGGACCGAACCGACUAAUGUUGAAAAAUUAGCGGAUGACUUGUGGCUGGGGGUGAAAGGCCAAUCAAACCGGGAGAUAGCUGGUUCUCCCCGAAAGCUAUUUAGGUAGCGCCUCGUGAAUUCAUCUCCGGGGGUAGAGCACUGUUUCGGCAAGGGGGUCAUCCCGACUUACCAACCCGAUGCAAACUGCGAAUACCGGAGAAUGUUAUCACGGGAGACACACGGCGGGUGCUAACGUCCGUCGUGAAGAGGGAAACAACCCAGACCGCCAGCUAAGGUCCCAAAGUCAUGGUUAAGUGGGAAACGAUGUGGGAAGGCCCAGACAGCCAGGAUGUUGGCUUAGAAGCAGCCAUCAUUUAAAGAAAGCGUAAUAGCUCACUGGUCGAGUCGGCCUGCGCGGAAGAUGUAACGGGGCUAAACCAUGCACCGAAGCUGCGGCAGCGACACUAUGUGUUGUUGGGUAGGGGAGCGUUCUGUAAGCCUGCGAAGGUGUACUGUGAGGUAUGCUGGAGGUAUCAGAAGUGCGAAUGCUGACAUAAGUAACGAUAAAGCGGGUGAAAAGCCCGCUCGCCGGAAGACCAAGGGUUCCUGUCCAACGUUAAUCGGGGCAGGGUGAGUCGACCCCUAAGGCGAGGCCGAAAGGCGUAGUCGAUGGGAAACAGGUUAAUAUUCCUGUACUUGGUGUUACUGCGAAGGGGGGACGGAGAAGGCUAUGUUGGCCGGGCGACGGUUGUCCCGGUUUAAGCGUGUAGGCUGGUUUUCCAGGCAAAUCCGGAAAACUAAGGCUGAGGCGUGAUGACGAGGCACUACGGUGCUGAAGCAACAAAUGCCCUGCUUCCAGGAAAAGCCUCUAAGCAUCAGGUAACAUCAAAUCGUACCCCAAACCGACACAGGUGGUCAGGUAGAGAAUACCAAGGCGCUUGAGAGAACUCGGGUGAAGGAACUAGGCAAAAUGGUGCCGUAACUUCGGGAGAAGGCACGCUGAUAUGUAGGUGAAGUCCCUCGCGGAUGGAGCUGAAAUCAGUCGAAGAUACCAGCUGGCUGCAACUGUUUAUUAAAAACACAGCACUGUGCAAACACGAAAGUGGACGUAUACGGUGUGACGCCUGCCCGGUGCCGGAAGGUUAAUUGAUGGGGUUAGCGGUAACGCGAAGCUCUUGAUCGAAGCCCCGGUAAACGGCGGCCGUAACUAUAACGGUCCUAAGGUAGCGAAAUUCCUUGUCGGGUAAGUUCCGACCUGCACGAAUGGCGUAAUGAUGGCCAGGCUGUCUCCACCCGAGACUCAGUGAAAUUGAACUCGCUGUGAAGAUGCAGUGUACCCGCGGCAAGACGGAAAGACCCCGUGAACCUUUACUAUAGCUUGACACUGAACAUUGAGCCUUGAUGUGUAGGAUAGGUGGGAGGCUUUGAAGUGUGGACGCCAGUCUGCAUGGAGCCGGCCUUGAAAUACCACCCUUUAAUGUUUGAUGUUCUAACGUUGGCCCCUGAUCGGGGUUGCGGACAGUGUCUGGUGGGUAGUUUGACUGGGGCGGUCUCCUCCUAAAGAGUAACGGAGGAGCACGAAGGUUGGCUAAUCCUGGUCGGACAUCAGGAGGUUAGUGCAAUGGCAUAAGCCAGCUUGACUGCGAGCGUGACGGCGCGAGCAGGUGCGAAAGCAGGUCAUAGUGAUCCGGUGGUUCUGAAUGGAAGGGCCAUCGCUCAACGGAUAAAAGGUACUCCGGGGAUAACAGGCUGAUACCGCCCAAGAGUUCAUAUCGACGGCGGUGUUUGGCACCUCGAUGUCGGCUCAUCACAUCCUGGGGCUGAAGUAGGUCCCAAGGGUAUGGCUGUUCGCCAUUUAAAGUGGUACGCGAGCUGGGUUUAGAACGUCGUGAGACAGUUCGGUCCCUAUCUGCCGUGGGCGCUGGAGAACUGAGGGGGGCUGCUCCUAGUACGAGAGGACCGGAGUGGACGCAUCACUGGUGUUCGGGUUGUCAUGCCAAUGGCACUGCCCGGUAGCUAAAUGCGGAAGAGAUAAGUGCUGAAAGCAUCUAAGCACGAAACUUGCCCCGAGAUGAGUUCUCCCUGACUCCUUGAGAGUCCUGAAGGAACGUUGAAGACGACGACGUUGAUAGGCCGGGUGUGUAAGCGCAGCGAUGCGUUGAGCUAACCGGUACUAAUGAACCGUGAGGCUUAACCUU
rnacentral:rRNA from 1 species